GGCGGCGUAGCCAAGUGGUAAGGCACGGGCCUGCAAAGCCCUGAUCGCCGGUUCGAAUCCGGCCGCCGCCUCCA
rnacentral:tRNA from 2 species